UACGGAGGGAGCUAGCGUUGUUCGGAUUUACUGGGCGUAAAGCGCACGUAGGCGGAUCGUUAAGUCGGGGGUGAAAUCCUGGAGCUCAACUCCAGAACUGCCUUCGAUACUGGCGAUCUCGAGUCCGGAAGAGGUGAGUGGAACUCCUAGUGUAGAGGUGGAAUUCGUAGAUAUUAGGAAGAACACCAGUGGCGAAGGCGGCUCACUGGUCCGGUACUGACGCUGAGGUGCGAAAGCGUGGGGAGCAAACAGG
rnacentral:rRNA from 1 species